AAGAUACUAGUAAAAAAUAUUACAUUGCCUUGUCAAGGCAAAAUUGUAGGUUAAAAUCCUGCGUAUCUUA
rnacentral:tRNA from 1 species